GGCCCCCUUGUCUCCGAAGCUACUAUCUCGUGAACGUUUCACAUUUUCAGUUCAGAAAUUUCCGAGAUUUUGGAUAAUUCCCCUGAAAUCUUAUUCCCCACCUUUGAUUAUGUCAACAUCUGAUCUAUCAAUUUUCUAGAUUUUCGGAACUUGGAAUCCAACUAUUCGUCUAUUCCCACUUUUUUCUUCGGACCAUUGACUCUUCUUCUUUUUUUUUUUCCAUCUAAUUUUACCAGCUUGUUUGUCCAUAAUCAAAGGAAUUUUCGAUACCCUUCUGUUGUUAAGUUGAUUAUUUGUUUCUUGCUGGGUUGAGGAUUUAGACCCUUCUUUUGUGUAAAUUACGUUCUUCUGAGAGGAAGAAAUCUGGGUCUGUGAUCAGAAUGUGAUGGAGAGCAGUGGAGAAGCAGGGGAUGAUCAGAGCUCUGGAUGGUUGCAAGUUAAAAA
rnacentral:lncRNA from 1 species